AGAGUUUGAUCCUGGCUCAGAUUGAACGCUGGCGGCAGGCCUAACACAUGCAAGUCGAGCGGCACGACGGGUACUUGUACCUGGUGGCGAGCGGCGGACGGGUGAGUAAUGCCUAGGAAUCUGCCUAGUAGUGGGGGAUAACGUCCGGAAACGGGCGCUAAUACCGCAUACGUCCUACGGGAGAAAGUGGGGGAUCUUCGGACCUCACGCUAUUAGAUGAGCCUAGGUCGGAUUAGCUAGUUGGUGAGGUAAUGGCUCACCAAGGCGACGAUCCGUAACUGGUCUGAGAGGAUGAUCAGUCACACUGGAACUGAGACACGGUCCAGACUCCUACGGGAGGCAGCAGUGGGGAAUAUUGGACAAUGGGCGAAAGCCUGAUCCAGCCAUGCCGCGUGUGUGAAGAAGGUCUUCGGAUUGUAAAGCACUUUAAGUUGGGAGGAAGGGCAGUUACCUAAUACGUGAUUGUUUUGACGUUACCGACAGAAUAAGCACCGGCUAACUCUGUGCCAGCAGCCGCGGUAAUAC
rnacentral:rRNA from 1 species